GGUGAGUAACACGUGGGUAACCUGCCCAUCAGAAGGGGAUAACAUUUGGAAACAGGUGCUAAUACCGUAUAACAAUCGAAACCGCAUGGUUUUGAUUUGAAAGGCGCUUUCGGGUGUCGCUGAUGGAUGGACCCGCGGUGCAUUAGCUAGUUGGUGAGGUAACGGCUCACCAAGGCCACGAUGCAUAGCCGACCUGAGAGGGUGAUCGGCCACAUUGGGACCGAGACACGGCCCAAACUCCUACGGGAGGCAGCAGUAGGGAAUCUUCGGCAAUGGACGAAAGUCUGACCGAGCAACGCCGCGUGAGUGAAGAAGGUUUUCGGAUCGUAAAACUCUGUUGUUAGAGAAGAACAAGGAUGAGAGUAACUGUUCAUCCCUUGACGGUAUCUAACCAGAAAGCCACGGCUAACUACGUGCCANCAGCCGCGGUAAUACGUANGUGGCAAGCGUUGUCCGGAUUUAUUGGGCGUAAAGCGAGCGCAGGCGGUUUCUUAAGUCUGAUGUGAAAGCCCCCGGCUCAACCGGGGAGGGUCAUUGGAAACUGGGAGACUUGAGUGCAGAAGAGGAGAGUGGAAUUCCAUGUGUAGCGGUGAAAUGCGUANAUAUAUGGAGGAACACCAGUGGCGANNGCGGCUCUCUGGUCUGUACCUGACGCUGANGCUCGAAAGCGUGGGGAGCAAACAGGAUUAGAUACCCUGGUAGUCCACGCC
rnacentral:rRNA from 1 species